GGCAGAAAAUCAUUGCCAAUGGUAGAACAAUGGCAGGAGGAGGCUAGCACAUCAGUCCCAUGUCCUCAUACUUUCAAGUUUGCUCCUGGAUUUUAUCGAUGAUCGUUCGAUGGCGGUCUGAAUAACGUCCCGGAAGAAGAAGGCUCAAAAUGACUUCUUGACUUGCUGUCUUUCUGGAAGUUUUGCUAAAACAAGCUUUAAUUUCUCCACUUCCUUUUUAAGUACCUGGUGUCUACCUGUAGCAAGAUAUCAAAGUUGUUAUUCCUUCUCCACGAAGUAAGUUGGUUUGGAAAGGUAGGUAAGGGAAGAAGGUAUAAAUACUUUCUUUGCCUUCAAGUCAUAGAAGCAUCAACACGACAGACAGGUUGCUGAAAAGAGUACCUCAUUUUUCCUUUUCAUACUCAUUCCGGGGAUACAGAUGGUGCAAACCAUAAGAUGAGCAUUGCUUCAUUGUCCUUUCAAGUUUCACUUGGUGAUAUUGGAAGGUUUUGGUGGCAACUUUGUUCCUUCUUCCCCUUUGGGAUGGGAUUUCACUUUUCAGUAGCUUGGUGAGCGCCCUCUGAAAGUAAAGCUAUGUUGGUAGAUUGUGAUGUGUUCAAGGCAAUUUCAAGAAUGAAAGAUUUCUUUAAGGGGGUGGAUUUAUCUUUUAAGGGGAUGGAUAUCUUAAGAGCAAAUCAUCAGUCAUUAAGAAACUAUGAACGAAUUAUCAGCUUUAUUCUCAAAUUUGAACAGUUGAACUUUCUUAUUUUUAUUUUUCAAUAAAAAAUGAACCAAUGUAAGAUCACUUGUGAGUUGAUUGAUUCAUC